rnacentral:rRNA from 1 species
GACGAACCGUGCGAACGGUGUUCGGAAUCACGGGGCUUAAAGGGUGCGUAGGCGGGUUGUCCAGUCUGGGGUGAAAUCCCACGGCUCAAUCGUGGAAUUGCCUCAGAUACUAACGACCUCGAGGGAGGUAGGGGCGAGCGGAACUGUGGGUGGAGCGGUGAAAUGCGUUGAUAUCCACAGGAACUCCGGUGGCGAAGGCGGCUCGCUGGACCUCUUCUGACGCUGAGGCACGGAAGCUAGGGGAGCAAACGGG